ACUGACCCUAGAAACAUUGCAAAUGUGGCUGUUGUGUCAUAUAUGUGUCAGGAAGUGGCAGAGAGAAGGGAUGCUAUGUCUACUUCAAUAUUCUGACCUUUGAACAUUUCAUUUAUUUGGAGUAGUCUUACAUU